UCACGCUAUUAUGUUUAUAGGGUUCGGUAAUUUAACACUUCGAAAAAUUAAUUACGUAAUAAGUAUCAAAUUAUAAAUCAACAUAAAACAUAAAAUAAAUAAAAAAGUCACAUUAUUAUUAAUAACAACAGGUGCACCGUGAGCACUACCUUACGACUAAGAAAAUAAUUUUUUUUUAAUGCUGUCCUCAAAUUCACAAUUGAGGAGAGGCAAUUAUUUUCCGCUCGUGAAUUUUUCGGAAUGUAUGGUCACAGGUUCUUCGUCAAUUUCGAACUCAUAAUUAGUGCUGUACCACGAGCAACUACGAUAGCUAUUAUUCGUAGUUGAAUUCCGAUGUUUGAAAUUACAUAAUCAAUACUAGACGUCAUCAAUAUAAGAUACGUAAAAAAAACUGAUUAGCAUCUGUUACAGAUGGACUACGUAUAUGUAUUAAUAUAAUAUUUUACGAAUUUUGAAUAAAUGGUAUUAGAACGUAGUUUGAAAUAUAAAUUACUUUUGUAUCAAAGCAAUUAACACCCACAUGUAAUAAACAAGUCUAUUAGAUACACGUGCGCUCAUAUCUGUUGAUUUAUCUUGUAAAUAAACACUUGAAAUAUAAGUGGUUGAUAUUAUUUUGUUAUCAAUGUCUGCAGAGUUAUGACUUAUGUGGGAAGCCACGUCAACGUUUAAACCCUUUAUAUAACACAAAAUCAAAACCUAUUUGGGCAUUUCACUACACAAGUUAUUGUUUAAACAUACAGCAUUUUUUUUAAUUGCUUAUACUGUACGUAUAGAGAAUUAGUUAUAGUUAUUUUACAUGUGACAUCGGUUGCAACCCUGUUAAGUACAUAAACAGGCCGUACGGAAGAGUGAAUACUGCUGAAAUACGACUUAGGAAUAUGUACGAAGAACGCAUAUAAGUAAAUCUAUUGUAAGUUUAUAUACGGCUUAUGAAUACGAGUGGGUCGUGGACUUGGGCAUGCCAACUGUCAAGGAGUGUCGGUCUGACUCAGACUGCGUCGCCCACGCUCGUGGCUCUAAUGUUGAAUUUUACAAGACAGAUGGCGCCGCUAAUAUUUCAAGAUGAUAAUGUAUUACAUUUGCGGAUGGAUAGAAUUGUACACAGUUAAUUUUCAUUUAUUUCAUUUAGAAUUUAUUCUUGAUAGAAUCAUUGUAUUUUUCGGCUUUCGCGAGUUGGAGACGUAAUUAAAACCAUUUUUACGGUUUUA